CGCCUCCCAAAAGGUAACGGAGGCGCUCAAAGGUUCUCUCAGUACGGUCGGAAAUCGUACGUAGAGUGUAAAGGCAAAAGAGAGCUUGAUUGCAAGACAUACAGGUCGAGCAAGGAUGAAAAUCGGACUUAGUGAUCCGGUGGUUCUGCGUGGAAGGGCCAUCGCUCAACGGAUAAAAGCUACCCUGGGGAUAACAGGCUUAUCUCCCCCAAGAGUCCACAUCGACGGGGAGGUUUGGCACCUCGAUGUCGGCUCAUCACAUCCUGGGGCUGUAGUAGGUCCCAAGGGUUGGGCUGUUCGCCCAUUAAAGUGGUACGCGAGCUGGGUUCAGAACGUCGUGAGACAGUUCGGUCCCUAUCCGUCGCAGGCGUAGGAAAUUUGAGAAGACCUGUCCUUAGUACGAGAGGACCGGGAUGGACGUACCUCUGGUGUACCAGUUGUCCUGCCAAG
rnacentral:rRNA from 1 species